AUACGUAGGGGGCGAGCGUUGUCCGGAAUGACUGGGCGUAAAGGGCGUGUAGGCGGCGCUGUAAGUCUGGAGUGAAAGUCCUGUUUUCAAGAUGGGAAUUGCUUUGGAUACUGCAGAGCUUGAGUGCGGAAGAGGUAAGUGGAAUUCCCAGUGUAGCGGUGAAAUGCGUAGAGAUUGGGAGGAACACCAGUGGCGAAGGCGACUUACGUGGCCUUAACUGACGCUGAGGCGCGAAAGCGUGGGGAGCGAACAGGAUUAUAUACCCGGGUAGUCCACGCGGUAAACGAUGAAUGCUAGGUGUUGCGGGUAGCGACCCCUGCAGUGCCGGAUUAAACACAAUAAGCAUUCCGCCUGGGGAGUACGGCCGCAAGGUUGAAACUCAAAUGAAUUGACGGGG
rnacentral:rRNA from 1 species